rnacentral:lncRNA from 1 species
UGCCCUUAACCUGCGUCCGCGUCCCAGUUUCAUUGACAUGAUCAAACAGACGGCCAGCUCCCUGAUAUGAUGACAGAUGACAAAAGAAAAGAGCUACAAGUGGAGACAGCCCAGCGACAGCGGUAACAGCAUACACGUGAUACCCACUCAGUGACAUGACUGGCCCUCGCGGCCCAAAACUUAAGACCGGCCCACCGGGAAUUGUCCCGGUCCUCCCGAUUAGCUACUCUGGGCCUGGAUGGCGUCCAUAGAGGGGGGGGGGGGGUACUGUCACGGUCUCUCGAACCAGAUCCUAGCUUCCACUAGUACCGCUCUCUGUCAGUCUUGUCUGUCCCUGUUUGUUGCUCUUUCAGUGUUUCAUGUGCGGGGGCGUGGCCUCCGCAUUCCAGCACAGUUCCCCGAUCCAGCCUCGUUGAUCCCCCGCACCUGACAGUCAUCUCCAAUCAGGAUCACCAGUAUAUCUACCCCAGCCUUCCAACCAUUCGUCGCCAGAUCGUCAGUUGUACUUACCCUUCAUCACCAUCACAAUUAUACUUCAACCCUGCUCUACUGCCGGAGUACCAUCAUCAUCAAAUCGUCGGGUGUGGCUGUUGGUUCGGCUGCCAGCCGACUCAUCCAACCCCGGUUCGGACUACCCGGUCCGUGGAUUCAGGAUUACCCCUAACGGACGCAACCACCAGCACCAACCUUAAUCAACCGUGGACUAAUAAACUGUUAAACUGUUUCCGCUCUCGUCUGUGGUCAUUUGUGGCGUGCGUUUGGGUCCAUCCCGUCUUGAAUCGUAACAAAUUAGUUACCUAUUGCAGAUGGAGGCCUAUAACAACCAACUAUCAUGAUAUGAUGGUCUUUCGAAAAAUGUAAGGCCAGAAGCUCAAAUUGUUUACCGAAGGAUUCAGUGAGCACUAAAUUAACAAUCAAUUUUCGUUUGGCAUAAAUAGCAACACCACCCCCCUUAUAGUGGCUUUUUUGCCAAGAUUAGAAGCCACUAUAGGAGCGAGGUAGACGCGCAUCCAAAACCAAAGUAAAGCAAUCUGAUUCGAAGUUUAAACAAAAAUGCUUUAUUAAAUAAACCUUCAAACAAAAAUGAUUCGUCUUCGUUAUUGUUAUUGUUUCCAUUGCAUUAUUUCCAUUAUGGCUCCAACAUACCAG